UNUGACUUGAGUGCAGAAGGGGAGAGUGGAAUUCCAUGUGUAGCGGUGAAAUGCGUAGAUAUAUGGAGGAACACCAGUGGCGAAAGCGGCUCUCUGGUCUGUCACUGACGCUGAGGCUNGAAAGCGUGGGUAGCGAACAGGAUUAGAUACCCUGGUAGUNCACGCCGUAAACGAUGAGUGCUAGGUGUUAGGCCCUUUCCGGGGCUUAGUGCCGGAGCUAACGCAAUAAGCACUCCGCCUGGGGAGUACGACCGCAAGGUUGAAACUCAAAGGAAUUGACGGGGGCCCGCACAAGCGGUGGAGCAUGUGGUUUAAUUCGAAGCAACGCGAAGAACCUUACCAGGUCUUGACAUCCCGAUGCUAUUCUUAGAGAUAGGAAGUUACUUCGGUACAUCGGAGACAGGUGGUGCAUGGUUGUCGUCAGCUCGUGUCGUGAGAUGUUGGGUUAAGUCCCGCAACGAGCGCAACCCUUAUUGUUAGUUGCCAUCAUUAAGUUGGGCACUCUAGCGAGACUGCCGGUAAUAAACCGGAGGAAGGUGGGGAUGACGUCAAAUCAUCAUGCCCCUUAUGACCUGGGCUACACCCGUGCUACAAUGGUCGGUACAACGAGUUGCGAGCCGGUGACGGCAAGCUAAUCUCUGAAAGCCGAUCUCAGUUCGGAUUGGAGGCUGCAACUCGCCUCCAUGAAGUCGGAAUCGCUAGUAAUCGCGGAUCAGCACGCCGCGGUGAAUACGUUCCCGGGCCUUGUACACACCGCCCGUCACACCACGAGAGUUUGUAACACCCGAAGUCGGUGAGGUAACCUUUUAGUGGCCAGCCGCC
rnacentral:rRNA from 1 species